GUAGGGAGCAAGCGUUGUCCGGAAUUACUGGGUGUAAAGGGAGCGUAGGCGGGAUGGCAAGUUGGGUGUUAAAUCUACCGGCUCAACUGGUAGUCGCACUCAAAACUGCUAUUCUUGAGUGAAGUAGAGGCAGGCGGAAUUCCUAGUGUAGCGGUGAAAUGCGUAGAUAUUAGGAGGAACACCAGUGGCGAAGGCGGCCUGCUGGGCUUUUACUGACGCUGAGGCUCGAAAGUGUGGGGAGCAAA
rnacentral:rRNA from 1 species